ACGAAGUGGUAAUUUUAGCAUAGCUAAUUUUAUUAAUUUUUGUUGAUCUGAUAAUAGCCGUGUCCUUCCUUACUGCAAGCUUCUUUCACUAUAUUGUACUUUGUUAAUCAUCCACCAUUGCUAAUGAGUUCUAGCUGCAAUCGUCUUCUAUUAACAUUAGACCUUUCUGACCUUUUCUUAUCCUUCGUAUCCUCUUUUAGGGAUUCGCAUUUCCUUAUCUCUAAUUAGAAUUGGAAUACAACUCUGUGUUUCCCAAUUUGGCAUAAACUUAUCUGCCUUCUUGUUGAACGAACCCUUUGAGCAUCAAGUACUGACAUGUCAUAAAAGGCUUGUUGGUCGACCAAGGGCAUAAAUGCUAUUUUACUUUGCCAUUUAAUUUUGUAUGUAUAAAUUGUGUGGCUUUGCCCCCAAAUUGAAUUACCACAUACCCCUCCUUUUUUGGCUUUUUUUUUUUUGUGGCUCUAAAAUCUUCUACAGUUUUUUCGUCCAUCGUCUGUGGGUUUGUUAUUUGUCAUUUAAUUUUAAAUUGAUAGUGCUUUAGACAUUUUAUCUAUUCUCUAUUUUGCCUUCUCUUUCUCUAUUCCUAUAUCUGUAUGUUUCUUUCUUGAAUCUCAAAUUCUAGCUUCUUCCUAUGGCGUUCAUCUUCCAAAGUAUUGAAUUUCCCCCCUUUUGAGCAAUACUCACAAACGCUAUAUUACGAGGAUGUAACAUUGCCUCACGGUCAAUUUAGCGACUGGUUAAUCUAUUUUUCUGCAUAAACAAUGCAUAUAAGGUAGACUCUAGAAAAAGCUUGUUGGAUUUUUUGAAGAAGUUGGGGACCUUCCAUUCUAUGCGAUGCAGAGGUUUGUCACUGUAGUUUUUUGCAUUAGGGACACAAUAAUGAUGUUGAGAUUGUAUGGUCUCGUGGAUGAAGUAUUCAUAUUUUAGAUGAGAAAGUAUCACCGACUAUAUUAUUAUUUCUGUUGGAAGUUCAAUUUGUGGAACAAAAUAUUUAUAGGUGAAUUGUGUUAGAUGCAGAUAAUUUGCAUGAAGAGAUUGUAACAUAGAGCAUGCUUGCCAAUUAUAGUUUUAACAUAAAAUUUCUUCAGGUGCCAAUAGUUUUAUUGUAGACUACAAAAAAAAAAAUUACAGUACAGGAACACAUCUUAUCUUGUUAUUGUGUAGAUUGUAUAUAUGUAAAAAGAUUACUCUAUGUCAUUUUACGAGCACACAACACCCAUUGAAUCGAUGUUUUGUUAAAUUUUUUACAA